rnacentral:rRNA from 1 species
GAUGAACGCUGACAGAAUGCUUAACACAUGCAAGUCAACUGUGGCGGACGGGUGAGUAACGCGUAAAGAACUUGCCUCACAGUUAGGGACAACCUUUGGAAACGAAUGCUAAUACCUGAUACUGUGAGAGAGCUUUGCGUCCAAUUAGCCAGUUGGAGAGGUAACGGCUCACCAAGGCGAUGAUGGGUAGCCGGCCUGAGAGGGUGAUCGGCCACAAGGGGACUGGGACACGACCCGUACUCCUACGGGAGGCAGCAGUGGAGAAUAUUGGACGAUGGACCAAAGUCUGAUCCAGCAAUUCGGGGUGCACGAUGAAGUUUUCGGAAUGUAAAGUGCUAUCAGUUGGGAAGCGGUACCAACAGAAGAAGUAACGGCUAAAUACGUGCCAGCAGCCGCGGUAAUUC